GUUAAACGGCAAACUCUCUGCAUGACUGGAGAGGGUAAAGGGCCAGAGUCACAGGAGCAGUUUUACAAGCACCACAUCUGCCACACACAGGUAGCAGAAUACCACUGGAAGGUCCAAGAUCCAGGGGCCCACAUCUGCUAAGGGCUUUCAUGCCGUGUCAUCCCAUGAGGAAAGACAGAGGGGAUCCUGUUCUCUGCAAAUGCAAACAGUUCUUUUAUUACAAGGCUUUUUCAAGGGGAAGAGAAAACUCAUUUGGCAGAUAAGGUUAACCUUUUAAAAAAUCAAGUGUGUUAA
rnacentral:lncRNA from 1 species